GCGCACCAGUCGAGAAAACUUCACACUGUGCGAAAGCACGAUGAGGGAAUCCCAAGUGCUUGCACGUAAGUGUAAGCUGUUUCUCUGUCUAAAACGCAGAGAGAGUAAGGGCUGGGUAAGACGGGUGCCAGCCGCCGCGGUAAUACCUGCAGCUCAAGUGGUGACCGUUAUUAUUGGGCCUAAAACGUCCGUAGCCGGUUUAAUAAAUGCCUGGGUAAAUUGUGUAGCUUAACUAUACGAAUUCCGGGUAGACUGUUAAACUUGAGACCGGGAGAAGUUAGAGGUACUCCUGGGGUAGAGGUGAAAUUCUGUAAUCCGUAGGGGGACCACCAGUGGCGAAGGCGUCUAACUAGAACGGGUCUGACGGUGAGGGACGAAGCCCUGGGGCG
rnacentral:rRNA from 1 species